CUACUACUCCCUCCGUCCGAAAAUACUUGUCAUUGAAAUGGAUGUAUCUAGAUGUAUUUUAAUUCUAGACACAUCCAUUUUGAUGACAAGUAAUUCCGGAUGGAGGGAGUAUUAU
rnacentral:pre_miRNA from 1 species